rnacentral:rRNA from 1 species
UACAGAGGGUGCAAGCGUUAAUCGGAAUUACUGGGCGUAAAGAGCGCGCAGGCGGUCGUUCAAGUCGCGUGUGAAAGCCCCGAGCUUAACUUGGGAAUUGCGCUUGUGACUGGCGAGCUGGAGUGUGGCAGAGGGAGGUGGAAUUCCACGUGUAGCAGUGAAAUGCGUAGAGAUGUGGAGGAACACCGAUGGCGAAGGCAGCCUCCUGGGCCAGCACUGACGCUCAUGCACGAAAGCGUGGGGAGCAAACAGG